UACGUAGGUGGCAAGCGUUGUCCGGAUUUACUGGGCGUAAAGAGCGCGCAGGCGGUCAGAUAAGUCGAAUGUGAAAGCCCCCGGCUCAACUGGGGAGGGUCACGCGAUACUGUUCGACUCGAAGGCAGGAGAGGGAAGCAGAAUUCCCGGUGUAGUGGUGAAAUGCGUAGAUAUCGGGAGGAAUACCAGUGGCGAAGGCGGCUUCCUGGCCUGUUCUUGACGCUGAGGCGCGAAAGCUAGGGUAGCAAACGGG
rnacentral:rRNA from 1 species